AAAAUAUUGUCUCAAAAAGAAAUUUUGGCUAAAUGGAGGAACAAUGGAAAUCGCAACCUUAAGCAAAUGACAUCCUGCAAGAAACAUGCUGAAGAAUUAAAAAACUGGCAUCAACAAUAGAAAAUAAUGAAAAAUUGUUGUCUGAAUUAAAUAACAUUGAACACUGGUUUUAGAAUACAUAUUUAUCUGGUUUUAUAGAAAAGAAGAUAAUGUCAGCAUAUGUGGAUAACGUAACAAUAGAUUGGGAUAGAGUGCAAAUAGUCAAACCGAUUUACAGCUCCAACACAGCCAUUACGCAAGAGACACUGGAGAUAUUGACUAGAAGAAAAAAGCAGAACAUCAUAAAUGACAGACCCAUGACUGAUUUACCGGAAGCUUGGACUUUUUUAUUGAAGAAGAAUGGGAAAAUAAAAUUGACCACAAGGCACAAGCCUUGAAAACACGGAACUUUAUUUUAUCAUGUUUUAUUAAUGUAUUCGAUGAG
rnacentral:lncRNA from 1 species